GACGAACGCUGGCGGCGUGCUUAACACAUGCAAGUCGAACGGAAAGGCCCUGCUUUUGUGGGGUGCUCGAGUGGCGAACGGGUGAGUAACACGUGAGUAACCUGCCCUUGACUUUGGGAUAACUUCAGGAAACUGGGGCUAAUACCGGAUAGGAGCUCCUGCUGCAUGGUGGGGGUUGGAAAGUUUCGGCGGUUGGGGAUGGACUCGCGGCUUAUCAGCUUGUUGGUGGGGUAGUGGCUUACCAAGGCUUUGACGGGUAGCCGGCCUGAGAGGGUGACCGGCCACAUUGGGACUGAGAUACGGCCCAGACUCCUACGGGAGGCAGUAGUGGGGAAUAUUGCACAAUGGGCGGAAGCCUGUUGCAGCAACGCCGCGUGCGGGAUGACGGCCUUCGGGUUGUAAACCGCUUUCGCCUGUGACGAAGCGUGAGUGACGGUAAUGGGUAAAGAAGCACCGGCUAACUACGUG
rnacentral:rRNA from 1 species